rnacentral:rRNA from 1 species
GGGCGUAAGGGCUCGCAGGCGGUUUCUUAAGUCUGAUGUGAAAGCCCCCGGCUCAACCGGGGAGGGUCAUUGGAAACUGGGGAACUUGAGUGCAGAAGAGGAGAGUGGAAUUCCACGUGUAGCGGUGAAAUGCGUAGAGAUGUGGAGGAACACCAGUGGCGAAGGCGACUCUCUGGUCUGUAACUGACGCUGAGGAGCGAAAGCGUGGGGAGCGAACAGGAUUAGAUACCCUGGUAGUCCACGCCGUAAACGAUGAGUGCUAAGUGUUAGGGGGUUUCCGCCCCUUAGUGCUGCAGCUAACGCAUUAAGCACUCCGCCUGGGGAGUACGGUCGCAAGACUGAAACUCAAAGGAAUUGACGGGGGCCCGCACAAGCGGUGGAGCAUGUGGUUUAAUUCGAAGCAACGCGAAGAACCUUACCAGGUCUUGACAUCCUCUGACAAUCCUAGAGAUAGGACGUCCCCUUCGGGGGCAGAGUGACAGGUGGUGCAUGGUUGUCGUCAGCUCGUGUCGUGAGAUGUUGGGUUAAGUCCCGCAACGAGCGCAACCCUUGAUCUUAGUUGCCAGCAUUCAGUUGGGCACUCUAAGGUGACUGCCGGUGACAAACCGGAGGAAGGUGGGGAUGACGUCAAAUCAUCAUGCCCCUUAUGACCUGGGCUACACACGUGCUACAAUGGACAGAACAAAGGGCAGCGAAACCGCGAGGUUAAGCCAAUCCCACAAAUCUGUUCUCAGUUCGGAUCGCAG